CAAAUACUUCCUUCGUCCGGAAAUACUUGUCCUAGAGUUGAAUGUAUCUAGACUUAUUUUAGUUAUAGAUACAUCCAUUGUAUACAUUUUUAGGACAAAUAUUUAGGAGGGAGUAGUUA
rnacentral:pre_miRNA from 1 species